rnacentral:rRNA from 1 species
AUGUACGGCUUCUCUCCGCCGAGCCACGACGUCGCCCCUCUGCCAUGGGUUUGCCGCGAAGACUUGCUCAUCCACGUCGACCUCGUCGAAGAUUGGACACCGCUGUCCCCGCGCUCCUCCUCCUCCUCCCCGCAGAGCGGCAUUCCCUCAUCUGAGUCUGAGGGUGACACCAGGCCGUUCCCUGCAGUUUACCCUGGUACCUGGGUGAUGGAGAUCGAAGAUGGUCAGGCUCCUGACGACCAAGGCCGUGCGCAUUGCCCCGGGCCUGUUGUGGCCAGCACUAGCUACGACGGCAUGCCUUUCGGCGGCCCCAGACGCAGCCACGACAGCGACGAUGGAGGGGGCCGGCGCUCCUGGAAAGACACCCUCCUGGGGCGCGGGUGCUCCUCCCAUGAAGCUUCUGCGGCGGCGCAACCCCAGCAACCCUAG